AUCCAGCUGACGAGUCCCAAAUAGGACGAAAUCCAUGUCCUUGAU
rfam:Schistosoma curassoni strain Dakar, Senegal genome assembly, scaffold: SCTD_scaffold0008009